rnacentral:rRNA from 1 species
AUUGAACGCUGGCGGCAGGCUUUACACAUGCAAGUCGAACGAGUGGCGGACGGGUGAGUAAUGCUUGGGAACGUGGCUUAUGGCGGGGGAUAACUACUGGAAACAGUAGCUAAUACCGCGUACUAUAGGAUGAGCCCAUGUGGGAUUAGGUAGUUGGUGCGGUAAAGGCUCACCAAGGCGACGAUCUCUAGCUGGUCUGAGAGGAUGACCAGCCACACUGGGACUGAGACACGGCCCAGACUCCUACGGGAGGCAGCAGUGGGGAAUAUUGCGCAAUGGGGGCAACCUGACGCAGCCAUGCCGCGUGAAUGAUGAAGGCCUUCGGGUUGUAAAGUUCUUUCGGUAGCGAAGCGUUAACUACAGAAGAAGCACCGGCUAACUCCGUGCCAGCAGCCGCGGUAAUAC